rnacentral:rRNA from 1 species
CUUGGUCAUUUAGAGGAAGUAAAAGUCGUAACAAGGUUUCCGUAGGUGAACCUGCGGAAGGAUCAUUAAAUUGGCCACCGGGAACUGCAAGCCUGUAAAAGGGUGAACAGUUUUAGACGUUAAAUCAGUAUACUUCUUUACAGAAGGAACUUUUUAAGCACUAUUACUCCGGUGUAUAUUUUAUACCCUAUCUUUUUUUACUUUAGUUGCCUUGGUGGGCCGUCUAGUAUAGCAUCAGUUCCGGCUGAUUGUGUCCACCAGAGGACCCCAAACCCUCUUAUUAGUGAUGUCUGAGGUACUAUUCAAUAGUUAAAACUUUCAACAACGGAUCUCUUGGUUCUGGCAUCGAUGAAGAACGCAGCGAAAUGCGAUAAGUAAUGUGAAUUGCAGAAUUCAGUGAAUCAUCGAAUCUUUGAACGCACAUUGCGCCCGCCGGCACUCUGGCGGGCAUGCCUGUUCGAGCGUCAUUUCAACCCUCGAGCCCGACUCUUUUGAGGACGGCUCGGCGUUGGGGGACGGCAGACUCCCCCCGGCAUCUCGCCGGGGACGCCGCCCCCGAAAUCUAGUGGCGGCCCUCCGAGGCGACCUCUGCGUAGUAACUUGUUCUCGCACCGGAAAGCUCAGAGCGGCCACGCCGUAAAACCCCAACUUUUUUCAGGUUGACCUCGAAUCAGGUAGGACUACCCGCUGAACUUAAGCAUAUCAAUAAGCGGAGGA